rnacentral:lncRNA from 1 species
UAUGGAGUUUAUACAGUGAAUAACGUGGCAAAUUAAACGUGGAGCAAGAAGACAGUACAUAAGCGUGUCCUUCCUUCCUUCCUUCCCAGGUUUCUUUGACCAAACCAUUGGGGGGGUGGGUAUGCUGUUUUUGACUUUGGCCUUGUUUGGUGUCCGCACACGUCUUGUAGAGAGUCAGUUGUAUAGGCAACAAAAGAACGAAGUGUUAAUUACAGAUUGGCCACGAAAAACGACCCAUCAAAAAAAGAACAUGGAGAUGUGGUGUGGUGUCGUAUUCCAAAGUAUAGAUGGAUGGGAGAGUGAGAGUGAGAGUGAGAGAUACAGACAGACAGAGUGUAUUACUUGCUAUUUCAGUAUUAUCUGAAAUGGAAACAGCUCUCUGUAGCCGUUUCUUGGAAUUACUUUCUCUCCCUAUCUAUAUAAACAACUCCUUUCCCCUUUACCUCUUUGUCUUCCCUCCCCAUUACCAUCCUCGUUUUUCUCUCUGUUUCUCUCUCUGUUUCUCUCUCUCUCUCUCUCAUUUCGCUAUCCAUUCUAAAUGAAGUGUUAGAUUCAACUUGGUCUUGAAGUUGUCUUGUCUAGUGCCUGAAGAAGGCUGAAGAGAGGGAGAGAUUUACAGAGAGGAGAAGAAAGCAUACAUAUGGAGGCGAAACAAAAUAUGGUUGUGAAUGGAGGAGGGGGGAUCAAAGUACUGCCAAUUGGGUACAGAUUCCGCCCUACAGAUGAAGAGCUCAUCGUUCAUUACCU